AGAGAUGGCUUAACAGUUGAGAGCACUGACCACUCUUACAGAGGACCAGGCGCAGUUCCCAGCACCGUGUGGCAGCCCACCGCUGUCCCUUAGCUGUCCCUUAGAUCUGACUCCCUCUUCGGUCUCUGUGGGCACCGCAGGAAAAAGUUGUUGUCCAACCUCUGGCCCAGGUUAAGCCCUCCCUGACCUGAUGGAUGGAUGCCUCGAAGGUGAGUGAGAUAAGUAGUCUACAGAGCUGAACCAUCGGUUUUCAACUCUGAUCUAGCUCAGUCUCCUUGGCUUCUCUUUUCUCUAGGCCUGGAACCAUUUUGUCCUUUCUUGUGACUACUUGUCCAGAGCGUCAAAAUUUAACACUCAGUUAAGAAUGCCUGUUUAUUCCUAUGUGUACAUAUGUGACAAUGAUUAAUGAAGAGGCCAUGAAUCUGAAAGAUAGCAAGGGUCUAGGAUCCUUCCAAAUACAGCCACGGGAGUGUUUCUUGGUGAUUCUAAGUCCAGUGACGUUGACAAUGGUCAUCACUACUUGAUAAAGUGGUACAAACCUUGGCACCUCAUCUUCGGGACUUUCUCCAAUGAAACGUGCAAACCUGAGCUCAUCCAGUGGGGGAAGAUGCUUUGAGGAUAACUCAGGAAGAGCCAUGACAUCGACAGGCAACGGCAGCUGAACCCACCAUGUACGCCAUGGUCCCUCUAACAUAGCCCUGGCUAUUCCAGGGCUCACUGUGUCGUUGGCCUCGAAAUCACAGAUCUGCCUGCCUUUCCCUUCCAAGGCUGGGACUAAAGGAUCGUGCUGACACCCAGCGCCUCUUGGACUCUUGCUGUGGACUCUUGCCCUCCUGCCUUCUGCCUCGGAUGACACAAUAUGAAGACCCUCACCAGGGCCAUGCUGGCAAAAUGUGCUUGAGAUUUCCCGGCCUCCAGAACCAUUAGCUGUUAAAUAAAUGUCUGUUGUCUAUGAA